rnacentral:rRNA from 1 species
AUUGAACGCUGGCGGCAGGCCUAACACAUGCAAGUCGAACGCGUGGCGGACGGGUGAGUAAUGUCUGGGAAACUGCCCGAUGGAGGGGGAUAAAUACUGGAAACGGUAGCUAAUACCGCAUACCAUCGGAUGUGCCCAGAUGGGAUUAGCCAGUAGGUGGGGUAACGGCUCACCUAGGCGACGAUCCCUAGCUGGUCUGAGAGAAUGACCAGCGACACUGGAACUGAGACACGGUCCAGACGCCGACGGAAGGCAGCAGUGGGGAAUAUUGCACAAUGGGCGCAAGCCUUAUGCAGCCAUGCCGCGGGUAUGAAGAAGGCCUUCGGGUUGUAAAGUACUUUCAGCGGGGAGGCGUUACCCGCAGAAGAAGCACCGGCUAACUCCGUGCCAGCAGCCGCGGUAAUUC